GCGGGAGUAACUCAGUGGUAGAGUGCAACGUUGCCAACGUUGAUGUCGAGGGUUCGAACCCCUUCUCCCGCUCCA
rnacentral:tRNA from 1 species